UUGACUGAUUUUAGCAACAGUAACAAGCUGAGAAACUGUUAAUUAGGAAGUGCUCGUUUGAGGACAUCUGGACUUUAUUAUUGUUGACAAAUCUUAGUUUUUUAUACUUAUCAAGUCCUGCCAAUCACUGGGAGCUGGGAGAAAUUAAAAAUGUAUACCAAAAAAAAGUUCUGGUCUUAGGAGGAUAUAUAAGUAUGUUUUCUUUAGCGUAUAAUCGGCUGAAAAUAAUCAUUGAGUUUUUGUAAACUUAGAAUGAGCCAUUUAUGUCUACAUAGGUAGCAGGUCCCCAUCUACGGAAAUCACCACGUUGCAUCGCCAUGUCUCUACAGUAGCCCAGAACGGACAAAUUCAUGUUUUCACCGCCAGCCACUGUAGUUUGCAGCCCCUCUGUGAUGAGACUGUCAGAAAAACACUGAUUGUUUUUAUAACAUGAAACUGCUUUAUGCAGUGUUUCUACCCGUUUAGGGUGUGUGUUUGUUUUGAAGAGAAAAAGACCUCUGCAGAUAAUUCGGCUCACGGUAAAAAUCCCCUGAACAGCCACCCAGUAGCUCACCAGGUAGAGCAGGCAUACCAUGUACAAAGGCUAUGUCCUUGCCACAGCGGCCACACAUUUGAUUUUGGCCUGUGCUGCAUGUCAUCCCCUGUCUCUCUCUCCCCCUUCAUGCUUAAACUGUCCUAUCUAAUGAAGGCAAAAGCAUAAAAUCUUAAAUAAAAUUUUAAAAAAACUCCUGAAUGUCUGCAUCAGAAAUGAGGUGAGCACACAUUAUGUUAUCAGAGAUAAAAAUUAGCACACAUUAGCAGGUGCUGGGCUAACGGCAUGAACACCACUGUGAGAAGUUUCAGCAGGUUGCAGUCUCAAAUCCUCACCACUAGAUGCCACUAAAUCCCCUUAAAUCUCACACACUGCUCCUUUAAAAGCCAUUGAAUAAUCUGAUUAAAGGACAUUUAUACUUAAUAUGGAGCAAUAUCCCUCAGUUUCAGACAGAAAUCAUUUGAAAAAUAUUGCAAAUGAUGCAAUGCAAAAAAAAGGGGUUUUAAAAUGUGUAUACACAGGUGAAUACAGAUUUGGAUAGAGUGAUUAUAUUAUGAAAAUCAUCAGUGAUAUUUCUGACCUCACUGAAUGUCCCAGGUAAGUAGAGGACACCAUUCUUUGGCUGCUGAUGGUUAAUUCUGGUUAGAGUAGGUCUUUUUAUACAUGGCCAUGUCUGACCCCAGUUUUUCUCCUCCCAGCUGGAGAUCGUAGAGGGAACACCUGACCUGGGGGUGACUUCAUACUGGACUGAUGCAGAGGGAAACGUGGUGUUUGGCCCAAACACCCCAGAGGAAAAGAUGAAAACCCCCGUCACUGGGACUGGGAAGAAAUCACAGUGCCGAAAGAAAUCUGUAUCUAAGACUCUUCCCAUGGAGAAGGUUGAAGAUGAGGUGAAGGCUGCAGUCAAACCCAAAGCUUCACAUUCAGAACAAACAAAAGAAGCAAAAGAAGUUGCUGACCAGACUUUGACUGCUGACCAAUCAGAUGCCCCCGAGCGGCCUGCAAACACAGUGGAGGAGCCUGGACCAGGAGCUGAAACAGCCACAAACACUGAGUUAAUCUAGUGGAGAUUCAUAUUGAUUAUACUCACAUAUACGUACAUUAGCUACAAGUUUGAUGUGGGCUUUUGAGCCUUAUAUGAUUGAUGUGUUUCCAGAUAUUGUAACUUGGACGUUGCAUUUGCUCCUACUAAAUAUUAAUGAUAAUAAUAGCUCAUCUACUCAUAUAUUUCAAUUUAAAGACCACAGUUUUCACAGUUUGCCUGCAUUUGAUUUGAUAUUUUGUUGUAUUUUUCAUCAUAUUUGCUUGAAUAAAAGAUCUGUUGACA